GUGUCUGUGGUGUAGCGGUUAUCACGUCCGCUUUACACGCGGAAGGUCUCGGGUUCGAUUCCUGGCAGACACA
rnacentral:tRNA from 1 species